rnacentral:rRNA from 1 species
AUUGAACGCUGGCGGCAUGCUUUACACAUGCAAGUCGAACGGCAGCGCGGGGCAACCUGGCGGCGAGUGGCGAACGGGUGAGUAAUAUAUCGGAACGUACCCAAGAUUGGGGGGGAACGUAGCGAAAGUUACGCUAAUACCGCAUACGAUAUAAGGAUGAAAGUGGGGGCUUGCAAGAACUCAUGCCAAUGGAGCGACCGAUAUCUGAUUAGCUAGUUGGUGAGGUAGAGGCUCACCAAGGCGACCAUCAGUAGCAGGUCUGAGAGGACGACCAGCCACACUGGAACUGAGACACGGUCCAGACUCCUACGGGAGGCAGCGGUGGGGAAUUUUGGACAAUGAGCGCAAGCCUGAUCCAGCAAUGCCGCGUGAGUGAAGAAGGCCUUCGGGUUGUAAAGCUCUUUUGUCAGGGAAGAAACGGUAGAGGCUAAUAUCCUCUGCUAAUGACGGUACCUGAAGAAUAAGCACCGGCUAACUACGUG